AGUUAUAUAGUUUAUAAAAAAAUAUUAAUUUUGUAAAUUAAAGAAAAUAAUUUAUUUAUAACUA
rnacentral:tRNA from 1 species